rnacentral:pre_miRNA from 1 species
UGGGGUCAAAUUGACUCUAGUAGGGAGUCCGUUUUUAAAUUGCGACUCCCUAACGGAGUCAGAUUGAUUCCGAU